GACGAACGCUGGCGGCGUGCUUAACACAUGCAAGUCGAACGCUGAAGCUUGGUGCUUGCACUGGGUGGAUGAGUGGCGAACGGGUGAGUAAUACGUGAGUAACCUGCUCUUGAAUCUGGGAUAAGCCUGGGAAACUGGGUCUAAUACUGGAUACGACAUGCCACUGCAUGGUGGUGUGUGGAAAGGGUUUUACUGGUUUUGGAUGGGCUCACGGCCUAUCAGCUUGUUGGUGGGGUAAUGGCCUACCAAGGCGACGACGGGUAGCCGGCCUGAGAGGGUGACCGGCCACACUGGGACUGAGACACGGCCCAGACUCCUACGGGAGGCAGCAGUGGGGAAUAUUGCACAAUGGGCGGAAGCCUGAUGCAGCGACGCCGCGUGAGGGAUGACGGCCUUCGGGUUGUAAACCUCUUUCAGCACGGAAGAAGCGAGAGUGACGGUACGUGCAGAAGAAGCGCCGGCUAACUACGUG
rnacentral:rRNA from 1 species